rnacentral:rRNA from 1 species
UACGGGGGGGGCAAGCGUUGUUCGGAAUUACUGGGCGUAAAGGGCUCGUAGGCGGCCAACUAAGUCAGACGUGAAAUCCCUCGGCUUAACCGGGGAACUGCGUCUGAUACUGGAUGGCUUGAGUUUGGGAGAGGGAUGCGGAAUUCCAGGUGUAGCGGUGAAAUGCGUAGAUAUCUGGAGGAACACCGGUGGCGAAGGCGGCAUCCUGGACCAACACUGACGCUGAGGCGCGAAAGCGUGGGGAGCAAACAGG